rfam:Oryza nivara chromosome 3, whole genome shotgun sequence.
AAAAAGACAAAUCCUGAAUUUCCGUGUUUAACAUUUAACUAUUCGUCUUAUAUGAAAUUUUUUAUAAUUAGUAUGUUGGUGAUAAGAUAUGAUUAAUACUUUUUAUACGUGACUUAUCUUUUUAAUUUUUUAUAAUUUUUUAAAUAAGACGAACGGUCAAACGUUGGAUAUGGAAAUCCAAAGUUUGUCUUUUU